CGUGAAUGCUGAUUGGCCAGCUCAGGCUGGGUUGGGUUUUGUUUUCACACUGAUAUAUAAGUGGAAUGUAUUUUUAACUACUCUAGAAGCUGAAAUUAACAAAGGUGCACGAUUUCCCUUGAAGCUCAGUGCUGACCAUCACUCUUGAGAAUGUGUGAACCAGGUCAGGAGAUGGAACAUCCCGAUCAUGAAGGAUGUCAUCCCCAUGCUGACGAUGAAUCGCAGGGGCAAAAACAUAAGCCUAAGCAGCGUGGAGGUCGUGGGCACCAAGGCAACAGGGGGUGCCAUGGUGGUGGCAGUGGCCAACAGAAAUCUCAUGGCUGUGGUCCCGGAGGAAUGCGAGAAGGUUGUGGGCAGUCACAGGGAAAUAUGAAGUGAACAGGAGCAAUGGUUGAGGACCACGCCCUUAACUAACUCGCCCCUAUCAGUGUGGAAGGUCCAUGGACUACUGAGCAUCAUUUACCUUGGAAAUGAUACCUUUAGGUGUAAUGGUAUGUGGGUAUGUCUGAUUACUGGCAGAAUUCUGAUUUUCUUUUCUCUUAGAAGACUUCCUGAAUAAGUUUAUACCCAGUGUAAGCUUAACGUGUCACUGUUAAUUACUGUUCAAACAUAACCACAGCAGGCAAGGAUUGUGUCCUGGUUCUGUCUUUCCUUCUAUUGAUGUCUGUUAUAAGAUGGCUUCAGAGCUUAGCUUCUUAAAUAGAGGUCUCUCAUCUCUUGUUGCUCCCUGACAGAAGCACCAAGAUUGUCAAACAACUGCCUCUUCUUGUUCACAAAUAAUAAAAAAAGUAUCUUCA